CCUACGGGCGGCUGCAGUGGGGAAUAUUGGACAAUGGGCGAAAGCCUGAUCCAGCCAUGCCGCGUGUGUGAAGAAGGCCUUCGGGUUGUAAAGCACUUUCAGUGGGGAAGAAAGCCUUGGGGCUAAUACCCUCGAGGAAGGACAUCACCCACAGAAGAAGCACCGGCUGAACUCCGUGCCAGCAGCCGCGGUAAUACGGAGGGUGCGAGCGUUAAUCGGAAUUACUGGGCGUAAAGCGCGCGUAGGCGGUCUGAUAAGCCGGUUGUGAAAGCCCCGGGCUCAACCUGGGAACGGCAUCCGGAACUGUCAGGCUAGAGUGCAGGAGAGGAAGGUAGAAUUCCCGGUGUAGCGGUGAAAUGCGUAGAGAUCGGGAGGAAUACCAGUGGCGAAGGCGGCCUUCUGGACUGACACUGACGCUGAGGUGCGAAAGCGUGGGUAGCAAACAGGAUUAGAUACCCCUGUAGUC
rnacentral:rRNA from 1 species